UUAAAUUGAAGAGUUUGAUCAUGGCUCAGAUUGAACGCUGGCGGCAGGCCUAACACAUGCAAGUCGAACGGUAGCACAGAGAGCUUGCUCUCGGGUGACGAGUGGCGGACGGGUGAGUAAUGUCUGGGAAACUGCCUGAUGGAGGGGGAUAACUACUGGAAACGGUGGCUAAUACCGCAUAACGUCGCAAGACCAAAGAGGGGGACCUUCGGGCCUCUUGCCAUCAGAUGUGCCCAGAUGGGAUUAGCUAGUUGGUGAGGUAACGGCUCACCAAGGCGACGAUCCCUAGCUGGUCUGAGAGGAUGACCAGCCACACUGGAACUGAGACACGGUCCAGACUCCUACGGGAGGCAGCAGUGGGGAAUAUUGCACAAUGGGCGCAAGCCUGAUGCAGCCAUGCCGCGUGUAUGAAGAAGGCCUUCGGGUUGUAAAGUACUUUCAGCGGGGAGGAAGGUGUUGUGGUUAAUAACCACAGCAAUUGACGUUACCCGCAGAAGAAGCACCGGCUAACUCCGUGCCAGCAGCCGCGGUAAUACGGAGGGUGCAAGCGUUAAUCGGAAUUACUGGGCGUAAAGCGCACGCAGGCGGUCUGUCAAGUCGGAUGUGAAAUCCCCGGGCUCAACCUGGGAACUGCAUUCGAAACUGGCAGGCUUGAGUCUUGUAGAGGGGGGUAGAAUUCCAGGUGUAGCGGUGAAAUGCGUAGAGAUCUGGAGGAAUACCGGUGGCGAAGGCGGCCCCCUGGACAAAGACUGACGCUCAGGUGCGAAAGCGUGGGGAGCAAACAGGAUUAGAUACCCUGGUAGUCCACGCCGUAAACGAUGUCUACUUGGAGGUUGUGCCCUUGAGGCGUGGCUUCCGGAGCUAACGCGUUAAGUAGACCGCCUGGGGAGUACGGCCGCAAGGUUAAAACUCAAAUGAAUUGACGGGGGCCCGCACAAGCGGUGGAGCAUGUGGUUUAAUUCGAUGCAACGCGAAGAACCUUACCUGGUCUUGACAUCCACGGAAGUUUUCAGAGAUGAGAAUGUGCCUUCGGGAACCGUGAGACAGGUGCUGCAUGGCUGUCGUCAGCUCGUGUUGUGAAAUGUUGGGUUAAGUCCCGCAACGAGCGCAACCCUUAUCCUUUGUUGCCAGCGGUUAGGCCGGGAACUCAAAGGAGACUGCCAGUGAUAAACUGGAGGAAGGUGGGGAUGACGUCAAGUCAUCAUGGCCCUUACGACCAGGGCUACACACGUGCUACAAUGGCGCAUACAAAGAGAAGCGACCUCGCGAGAGCAAGCGGACCUCAUAAAGUGCGUCGUAGUCCGGAUUGGAGUCUGCAACUCGACUCCAUGAAGUCGGAAUCGCUAGUAAUCGUGGAUCAGAAUGCCACGGUGAAUACGUUCCCGGGCCUUGUACACACCGCCCGUCACACCAUGGGAGUGGGUUGCAAAAGAAGUAGGUAGCUUAACCUUCGGGAGGGCGCUUACCACUUUGUGAUUCAUGACUGGGGUGAAGUCGUAACAAGGUAACCGUAGGGGAACCUGCGGUUGGAUCACCUCCUUACCUUAAAGAA
rnacentral:rRNA from 1 species